UACGAAGGGGGCUAGCGUUGUUCGGAAUUACUGGGCGUAAAGCGCACGUAGGCGGAUAUUUAAGUCGGGGGUGAAAGCCCGGGGCUUAACCCCGGAAUUGCCUUUAAGACUGCAUCGCUUGAAUCAUGGAGAGGUGAGUGGAAUUCCGAGUGUAGAGGUGAAAUUCGUAGAUAUUCGGAAGAACACCAGUGGCGAAGGCGACUCACUGGACAUGUAUUGACGCUGAGGUACGAAAGCGUGGGGAGCAAACAGG
rnacentral:rRNA from 1 species